rnacentral:rRNA from 1 species
GACGGAGGAGGCAAGCGUUAUCCGGAAUUAUUUGGCGUAAAGGGUACGUAGGCGACUGGUCAAGUCUGGGGUCAAAGGCCACAGCUCAACUGUGGGAAAGACCUGGAAACUGACCGGCUAGAGUGAGGUAGGGGUUGCGGGAAUUCCCGGUGUAGCGGUGAAAUGCGUAGAGAUCGGGAAGAACACCUGAGGCGGAAGCGCGCAACUGGGCCUCAACUGACGCUGAGGUUCGAAAGCUAGGAGAGCGAAUGGG